GAACGCACAUUGCACUCUAUUUCGGUAGAGUAUGCCUGUUUGAGAAUCUAAUGUAUUCUUUUUCCUAAGGUCUUUGUACAUUAGGAGAGAUUUGUAGAAUCUCUAUGCUUUAUGUCAUAGAGUUCUAUUAAUUAUAUAGCUCGGCUUUAAUUAUAGACUUUAUUUUCUAUAAAACAAAUUGCAGAAAAGUAUUUGAAUGGAACUUUUAGUUUCUCCCUGUACUGACUAGGCAGUUUGGACUGAGUCCAUAACUAUGUAAAAGUUUUUUAUUAGUAAUCAAAUUUUUUUUUGAUAAAAGUAAAUUCUUUUGAACCAUGGUCUCAAAUCAGGUAGGAUUACCCGCUGAACUUAAG
rnacentral:misc_RNA from 1 species